UACAGAGGUCCCAAGCGUUGUUCGGAUUCACUGGGCGUAAAGGGUGCGUAGGUGGCGAGGUAAGUCGGAUGUGAAAGCUCGGAGCUCAACUCCGAAAUGGCAUUGGAAACUACCUUGCUCGAGGGUCGGAGGGGGGACUGGAAUUUACGGUGUAGCGGUGAAAUGCGUAGAUAUCGUAAGGAAGACCAGUGGCGAAGGCGGGUCUCUGGACAGUUCCUGACGCUGAGGCACGAAGGCCAGGGGAGCAAACGGU
rnacentral:rRNA from 1 species